UCAACCUUUGCUACUGUGGACUGGAGCAAUACUCAUCUGCAGGGCAUUUGAUCCUGUAGUUCUUCAGUCAGAAGCAAGCCAGGCUGUGAAGCAACGACUUCUGAAUUUUGUACGAUCACUAUCAACUGUGCUGGCAUUUGCCUAUUGUUUAUCAAGGUAUGUUUUCUUGCCAACGUACUUAUGUCAUUUAAGGGCUUUGCAAUUACUUUUGUUGAUAUUUAGAUUUAGUUCACUAAAGCACUUGGCUGCUGAUUAAUUGGUCAACUUUCUAAUUUCUUGUUCCAGUAAAAAUUAAAUGUAUUUAUAGUUUGUUUUAAAAAUUUAAUGAUGAAAUUGUUACCUUGUUUGGGCAAGUGGUUGGCAUAUCUUUUUGAGUCACUUGGUCAAUCUGGAAGCAUGCAUCUCCAACUUUGCAGCCUGAUGUGUUCUCUUACUUAAUAUGCAGUUUUGCUUCUGGUGCUCAGUUUUUUCAUUGAAUGUUGAUAAUAUCCCAUUUUGGUUUUAAUUCUUACUGGCUUGUUUAUUGCCCUUGUCUUUUGUAUGUUUAAUUUCUUUUGGGGCUUGAAUUAUAAAUAUUAUCAUGGCCAUUUCCUCUUCACAGCUUGAUACAACAGGCCCAAAAGUUCUCCACAGAGAUGAAUGACUCUGAUGAUGCAAGAAAUGUAUGUUUCUGUGAACUCUGCAGUUACAACUGUCUUUAAUUCCUUUACAUGUCUUUAUUAGUGCUACUAUACGUGCACUAGAAAAUUGAAUUUUCCAUCAAGGAAUGGUUGACUUCAGCAUGUGAAACUGAAAAGAACUUUUGGCAUGGAAAUGAAUUAUAAAUGAUGUAUCACUUAAAUAUGUUGUGUAGGUUUACCUUUUGGUAACUGUGAGAUCCAAGCAUGGUAAACAGCAAUAAUGCAUCUCAGUCCUAGUUUCCUGGGUCAGUUUAAAUGAGUUCAUGUUUUGCAUUACCUCUCUAUUUAGGGUUAGAUACUCUGUUAAAUGCUUGUUUUGGCAUUAUUAUGCCUUUGACGAGUUUCCUAAUAUCCAGCUCUAGCUUCUGAUUUUGGGUCAGAAGUAUUUAUGUCCAGUUAUGCAAUAAUCUUCUAGUGGGGAAGUGCCUUAUCACCGCUCUUAAAAGCUGUGCAUUUCAUAAAAUACAAAAUGUUUCAAAUAUUUUUAAGAAGCCUACAAACAUUAUUUGGAUUCACUAGAUAUGCAUGAAAAGCUUUUGGUUAAAAGUCAAGGUGAUUAUAAUUUAUUAAUAAUGGGGCUGUGUUUAAGCUGAUGAAUAACAUUUUACAUCAGUUCUUUCUUGCUCUGGCAGAUGGGAUUUAAUUUUGCUGGAAAAGCUGUUUAUAGUGCUGUUUGGAUUGCUGCUGUAUCAUUGUUCAUGGAAUUGCUAGGUUUCUCUACGCAAAGAUGGCUCACAGCUGGGGGUCUUGGUACAGUAUUACUCACCCUUGCUGGUCGGGAGAUAUUUACAAAUUUUCUUUCAAGUGUAAUGAUCCAUGCAACACGCCCAUUUGUUGUGAAUGAAUGGAUUCAGACAAAGCUCGAAGGCUAUGAGGUUUCUGGCACUGUUGAGCAUGUGGGAUGGUGGUCACCUACAAUCAUAAGAGGUGAUGAUCGUGAAGCAGUUCACAUUCCAAACCAUAAAUUCACUGUGAAUGUUGUUAGAAAUCUCAGCCAGAAGACUCAUUGGCGCAUUAAGACUCACCUUGCUAUCAGUCACUUGGAUGUCAACAAAAUUAAUAACAUCAUUGCUGAUAUGCGCAAGGUUUUGGCCAAAAAUCCUCAAGUGGAGCAGCAAAGGCUGCACAGAAGAGUUUUCUUGGAUACCAUUGAGCCCGAGAAUCAGGCUCUCAAGGUGAGGCUUAAGUUGUGUUCUUUUCUCUGUUGAAUUUAUGAUAUAUGUUUUCUAAUGAAGACCAAAAUGAAGUGUGCAUUGUCUGAAGAAGAGGAUUCCUUUCUGAAAAGACGUCUUGAGAACAGUUUCUCUUCUCUCCGUGUUCUUAUUAUAAAUUUGCUUUGCUUGUGAAGGAUAAAGAAAUGUGAAAAAUUUGGAGAUUACGUGUUGAUUUUGGUGUUAAAGACAUGAAAUGACUCGUUUUUGGACUUCAUUGGGUUGCACAGUCCCUUUUGAAAUUAAGGGUUUGCUUCCCUUGGGUGGUUGUGUUUACAAUUGAUAAUUGAUGUACAUGUUAAUGUGCAUGCUCUAACCAAAGCUAAAGGCUCCUUGAUCACAACUGGCUGAAACUAUUAAUUGUUAUACUCCUAAAAAGAUCCAUCUCUAACUCUAGAGUUUGGUGUCUCUGCAAGUACAGAUAAGGUUACAUUUCUAGAGGCAUCUGGUUUUAAAAAAUUAGAAAAAAGGGUAAUUUUUUGGUUCAUAUUUGUAACUCGAUCUUGGUUUAAAAAUUUCUUCAUUGUCUUACUGUCUAUCUGUUGGCUUAUGUUGCAGAUUUUGGUAUCAUGCUUUGUGAAAACCUCACAUUUUGAAGAGUACCUCUGUGUAAAGGUAAGUCAUUUUUAUUAUGCAAAAUGAAUGUGUUGCUGCUAUUAGAUGGUAUAACAAUGCAGAGAAUUAAAUGUAUCUGUUGCUAUUAUUGCUUUCAAAAUCCUAUCUGUUUUUGGACAAAAACCAAACUCCAGGAAAUGAUUGUUUGAAUUACUUAAAGACUUCAAAUACUAAAUGUAGAGCCACAGAUUCCCUGGUAAUCAGCAGUUAUGGGCCAUCUGGCUCCUGCAUCUCUGUCUGGAUGGACAACUGGUGCAUGAUGGUCACUAUGAGUGCAUCUGUCAUGUUUGAUGUGUUAAUUUUGAUAUCCUCAUGUGCCUGGAUUUUCUGACUGUUGAUCUCCUUAUCUUCUACUAGAAAAUUAGCUGACUUGGCAUUAUCAAAUGCAAUGUGACAGGAAGCAAUACUCUUGGAUCUUCUUAGAGUUAUAAGCCAUCAUCGGGCCCGGCUUGCCACACACAUCCGUACUGUUCAAAAAAUAUACAAUGAGGCUGAUUUGGAUAAUGUACCAUUUUCCAACACUAUUUUUACUCAUUCAGGAGUAGCUGCUAACUGUCCAUUAUUGCUGAUCGAACCCUCUCAUAAAAUCAAUGCUGAUGAUAAAACUAAAGCUUCAACUCGUUCAGUACGUACUAAUGAGGAAAAGGAUGCAAAGGGUGAAGCAGCCUCAACAUCUGAGUCUAGGGCUGAGCCAAAUGUUGAUUCAAUAAAAGAUAAGGUCACAACAACAACUUCUGACUCCAGUACAACUUCUAACGUUUCAGCAAUCCCUAAAUCCAAUCCCCAACUUGGGAAAUCAUUGCAUGAUAAUUCAGUGCAAAACAGUUCUGAAACAUUGCAGCCUAGCGGAAGCACAGGACACGUAUGUAAGAAGAAAAUGGGGCUAAAUACUGAAGAAAUAACUCCAGGCAGGACAACACUUGAAGAAUAUUCAGUUAAUGAAUCUAAAAGAAGUGAUAUCCCGACAGCCACUUCACAGGCUAAACAGGACGUGGAGAGGACUGUCAGCUCACCAUCAGUAGGCCGGCCUCCUUUGGAAGAGAACAUUGUUCUCGGUGUUGCUCUUGAGGGCUCAAAACGAACACUUCUGAUUGAAGAAGAAAUUGAUCCAUCUUCUUUCCCCCAAAAGUCGAAGGAAUUGGCUGGCAGCCGGGAUGGAAAUGGGUCUCCUGCUGGGAAGGAUAAGAAAGAUGGUCAGAUGCCAACAGUUCCAAAUACCUCAAAAAUUGAUUAACAGUAUGAAAAGUUUGUGAAAUUCUGUGCUGUCAUAUAUGCCUCUUAAACAUUGAAACUGUACAAGAAUGCGAUUGCUGUGUUUUUGAAGCUGUCGCAAUGCUGUUCAUACAAGUCAGGAAUUGUCAUUCUUGUGAAUAAUUAUUAUUAUUAUUUUUUUAUAAAUUCAUAAUUUAAAUUUAUUUUUGGUAUUUUUAAUCUAUUUUAUUUUAAUUGACAUUUAGGUCAAAAUUCAACACUGAAUAUGAAAUGACCAAAAUGCCCUUUGUUGAACUUAUCGAGUUAUAUUUGUCUGUACCGAUUAACUUAAUUUUCUUAAAUUUUCUUUGACGUUUUUAAUGUCAUUUAAUCCUCUUAAAACCUUCAAAUUAAUCUAAGAUAUCUAUUUCACAGGGUUUCUCGCUGGUCUGGGGUCGGCAACUCUCUUCACAAUCGCUUUCCAGUACGGUCACCCAUCAUCGUGACUCCGGCUCCUUUAACCUACUUGCACUUCAUUUCUUUUAUUUUUCCUUAAAUUUUCUUGGUCUUUAUUCAAUCGAUUUAUGGC
rnacentral:misc_RNA from 1 species